CAGUCGCCGCGGUAAUACAGAGGGUGCGAGCGUUAAUCGGAUUUACUGGGCGUAAAGCAUGCGUAGGCGGCUUCUUAAGUCGGAUGUGAAAUCCCUGAGCUUAACUUAGGAAUUGCAUUCGAUACUGGGAAGCUAGAGUAUGGGAGAGGAUGGUAGAAUUCCAGGUGUAGCGGUGAAAUGCGUAGAGAUCUGGAGGAAUACCGAUGGCGAAGGCAGCCAUCUGGCCUAAUACUGACGCUGAGGUACGAAAGCAUGGGGAGCAAACAGGAUUAGAUACCCCUGUAGUCCCUGUCUCUUAUAC
rnacentral:rRNA from 1 species